CUAUAUAUUACAUGGACUGCCAACUCUACGCACUAAGCCUAUAUUUUUCAAUAAACAAGUCCCGUUCACGGAGGCGUCCUUGGUUGCGUGGUAAAUUGACUUCCGGUAGAUUUUUUUUUACGUAUAAAGAAACCAUUCUCGAAGAUUUUCACCACCACUUUUACAGCAAAUCAUGAAUGGAAACUGAAUUGUUAAAGAAGAUGUUACAGAGGAGCAUACUACUUCCACAAACCUGAUUUGAUUGUCACUAACUUUCAAAUUGAAAGGGAUCUACUACAACUGCUCAUGAAUUUCGAGAUUUUACAGCUAAUAGAGGAACAAAUUUUAUCUGCUUCCACUUAGCCAAACAGCAUGGAAAUAUGCUAUUGUAAUGAGUAGAAGAUAUUUGUCAUUUAGAGUAUCAUGCAACAGCUAAUUAUCAGUACACACAUUUCAAGAUGAGGAAAAGAACAGUAUAAGCUACAUUCAUUGAUGCAUUAUUUAUACAAAAAUGUAUAGUCAACCCAGUCAUCACUCCAUUUUUUUAUGAAGCCAGUUACAGUUACCAUGAAGGGAUGAAAUUUCAGAUAAUAUUCUGUUUAUUUCAUGAAAUGAGAAUAGGCCUACAUCAGAAAUUGAAAUGGUCAUCUUCAGUAUUUAAUGUUUCAUCUAAAAAUGAUAAUUAUAUUAAUACAUAUUUGAUGUACAAACAAAUGAAAACCAUUCAAAACCAUUUUUUUUUGUGAAGUAUAGAUGAUUAAACUUGUAAGUGUCUGAACAAUA